rnacentral:rRNA from 1 species
GAUGAACGCUGGCGGCGUGCUUAACACAUGCAAGUCGAACGAUGAAGCCCAGCUUGCUGGGUGGAUUAGUGGCGAACGGGUGAGUAACACGUGAGUAACCUGCCCUUAACUCUGGGAUAAGCCUGGGAAACUGGGUCUAAUACCGGAUAGGAGCGUCCACCGCAUGGUGGGUGUUGGAAAGAUUUAUCGGUUUUGGAUGGACUCGUGGCCUAUCAGCUUGUUGGUGAGGUAAUGGCUCACCAAGGCGACGACGGGUAGCCGGCCUGAGAGGGUGACCGGCCACACUGGGACUGAGACACGGCCCAGACUCCUACGGGAGGCAGCAGUGGGGAAUAUUGCACAAUGGGCGCAAGCCUGAUGCAGCGACGCCGCGUGAGGGAUGACGGCCUUCGGGUUGUAAACCUCUUUCAGUAGGGAAGAAGCGAAAGUGACGGUACCUGCAGAAGAAGCACCGGCUAACUACGUG